GACGAACGCGGCGGCGUGCCUAAUACAUGCAAGUGGAACGCAUUGGUAACACCGGACUUGCUCCAGUGUUACUAAUGAGUCGCGAACGGGUGAGUAACGCGUAGGUAACCUGCCUGAUAGCGGGGGAUAACUAUUGGAAACGAUAGCUAAUACCGCAUAAGAGGAGUUAACUCAUGUUAACUGUUUAAAAGAAGCAAUGGCUUCACUAUCAGAUGGACCUGCGUUGUAUUAGCUAGUAGGUAGGGUAACGGCCUACCUAGGCACCGAUACAUAGCCGACCUGAGAGGGUGAACGGCCACACUGGGACUGAGACACGGCCCAGACUCCUACGGGAGGCAGCAGUAGGGAAUCUUCGGCAAUGGACGCAAGUCUGACCGAGCAACGCCGCGUGAGUGAAGACGGUUUUCGGAUCGUAAAGCUCUGUUGUAGGGGAAGAACGUGUGUAAGAGUGGAAAGCUUACACAGUGACGGUACCCUACCAG
rnacentral:rRNA from 1 species